CCCUAACAUCCCCCCAUGCUGAUUUUUUUUGUUUUUCCCCCUCUGCUGGGUUUAGUACCAAGGAAAAAGAAGUCGAGCGUCAGAGUCUACUGCCCUCGUGCGAUGGGAGCUGCGCUUGCAGAGGAAUUGUCCAGGAGCCCCAGCCGGAGGAGAAACUGGCAGAUGUGGACAUGAGCAGACUGGACAUCCUUGUCAGCAGACAUGAACAGUCCUCCGCUUUCUGCCUUCCACAUAACUGGCUCUGCGCUGGCAGAGGAAUUGGCCAGGAGCCCCAGCCGGAGGAGAAACUGGCAGAGGUGGACCUGAGCAGCUUAACUGAGCGUGCGUAAUCAGUCAGUGCUCGGAAUUGCUCAUCUGUAGUCGCUGUAGUUUUCGUCACAGGCCGUGUGCUUCCUCGUUGGGUACGGGGCUUUGUGGGAUUAAGGCUGGGGAAGGGAUCGCAGUCACAGUUGCCAACUUUCACAGGGUAAAUCAUCUCCCCGACUUUCACAAUAAGCCAAAAACCAAGCUAAUCCCAUUUCAAAACAAGGCCAAAACAAGUUAAAGAACCCCAACACUGUAUGUGACUAGAUCCCCUCAGCGUGGAGUCUGCGACUGUGGGGGGCCUGCUGUGCACCCCUGACUCUCUUCCCCUCUUUGCCCCGGCUUGCCCCGUGCCUUUGCUUCCCCCC